rnacentral:rRNA from 1 species
GACGCCUGCCCGGUGCCGGAAGGUUAAGAGGAGGGGUGCAAGCUCUGAAUCUAAGCCCCGGUAAACGGCGCCCGUAACUAUAACGGUCCUAAGGUAGCGAAAUUCCUUGUCGGGUAAGUUCCGACCUGCACGAAUGGCGUAACGACUUCCACACUGUCUCAACCAGGGACUCAGCGAAAUUGGAAUGGCGGUGAAGAUACCGUCUACCCGCGAAAAGACGGAAAGACCCCGGCACCUUUACUAUAGCUUUACACUGGCAUUCGCCAAGGCAUGUGUAGGAUAGGUGGUAGGCUUUGAAGCGUGGGCGCCAGCUCGCGUGGAGCCAUCCUUGAAAUACCACCCUUAUCUUCGUGGAUGUCUAACCGCGGUCCGUUAUCCGGAUCCGGGACAGUGUAUGGUGGGUAGUUUGACUGGGGCGGUCGCCUCCGAAAGAGUAACGGAGGCGCGCGAUGGUAGGCUCAGACCGGUCGGAAAUCGGUCGUCGAGUGCAAUGGCAUAAGCCUGCCUGACUGCGAGACUGACAAGUCGAGCAGAGACGAAAGUCGGUCAUAGUGAUCCGGUGGUCCCGCGUGGAAGGGCCAUCGCUCAACGGAUAAAAGGUACGCCGGGGAUAACAGGCUGAUGACCCCCAAGAGUCCAUAUCGACGGGGUUGUUUGGCACCUCGAUGUCGACUCAUCGCAUCCUGGGGCUGGAGCAGGUCCCAAGGGUUUGGCUGUUCGCCAAUUAAAGCGGUACGCGAGCUGGGUUCAAAACGUCGUGAGACAGUUUGGUCCCUAUCUUCCGUGGGCGUAGGAGGCUUGAGAGGAUCUGACCUUAGUACGAGAGGACCGGGUUGGACGCACCUCUGGUGUACCAGUUGUCACGCCAGUGGCAUCGCUGGGUAGCCAUGUGCGGAUUGGAUAACCGCUGAAAGCAUCUAAGCGGGAAACCGACCUCAAGAUUUGGCCUCCCGGGGGCAACCCCCUGAAGACCCGAUGGAGACUACGUCGUUGAUAGGCCGGAUGUGUAAGCGCGGUAACGCGUUCAGCUAACCGGUACUAAUCGGUCGUGAGGCUUACAUUA